rnacentral:rRNA from 1 species
AUUGAACGCUGGCGGCAUGCUUUACACAUGCAAGUCGAACGGCAGCGCGGGCUUCGGCCUGGCGGCGAGUGGCGAACGGGUGAGUAAUACAUCGGAACGUGCCCAGUCGUGGGGGAUAGCUCGGCGAAAGCCGGAUUAAUACCGCAUACGACCUGAGGGUGAAAGCGGGGGAUCUUCGGACCUCGCGCUAUUGGAGCGGCCGAUGGCAGAUUAGCUAGUUGGUGGGGUAAAGGCCUACCAAGGCGACGAUCUGUAGCUGGUCUGAGAGGACGACCAGCCACACUGGGACUGAGACACGGCCCAGACUCCUACGGGAGGCAGCAGUGGGGAACUUUGGACAAUGGGCGAAAGCCUGAUCCAGCAAUGCCGCGUGUGUGAUGAAGGCCUUCGGGUUGUAAAGCACUUUUGGCGGGAACGAAAAGGACUGUGCCAAUACCACGGUUCGAUGACGGUACCCGCAGAAUAAGCACCGGCUAACUACGUG